UAGACGAUGAUGAAGCAAAAUGUAAACAUUCCAACACUUGGACUGAGAAAUUCAAUUUCAAGAGAUGUGAAAACAUGCUUUCUGAGUCUUG